GUUGUUUCCCAGGGUUCCCUCUAUACCCUGGCUGUUGAACCCGAUCUCGUGGGCACCAUAAAGACCAUGCAGGGAUUUGACUCUGAAGUCUACAAGAUUAAGCAAGACCUCAAAGAAGGAAGUCCCUCAUCCUUCACUAUUGCUGAUGAUGGCGCCUUGUACUUCAAAGGCCGCCUAGUGGUGCCGUGUAAGAAGGAAAACCUGAAUAUGACCCAGGAGGUUAUGAAAGAAGCUCAUGAUACGCCUCUAUGUAUCCAUCCUGGUAGUACGAAGAUGUAUCAAGACAUUCGUCAGAGAUUCUGGUGGUCUAACAUGAAGCAAGACAUUGCUCGUUAUGUUGCCGAAUGUGACGUUUGCCGUCGUAUCAAAGCAGAACAUCAAAGGCCUGCUGGAACUCUGCAACCUAUAUCUAUUCCUGAAUGGAAAUGGGACCAU
rnacentral:rRNA from 1 species